UCGCUGGCUCGCUCGCCGGCUCGCCCAUGCACAGCUCGCUCGCGCGCGCAGUCUAUGCGGCCGGAAGGUUUUGGGCGAAAGGGAAUCCGGUUCUUAUUCCGGAACCUCCACCCGGAGACGGUGUUACCCCUCGCCUAAAGGUACUCCUGGCGACAGGAGGAAACCUGCUGCUGCCGGCCGCGGUCCAGGGAAGAGUUUUCUUUUCUGCUUAAGAGGUCUUGGCCCUGGAAGCUACUUGCAAGGCGAGAGGGCCUUAUCAAACCCGUAGAGCGUGCGCAGUUCUU
rnacentral:rRNA from 1 species